AUCUUGACCAACAACAUACAAACAACUCACCUAAAUGACGGAAAGUCGGCAUGUCUACUCAUGGACAUCAACAAGGCUUUUGAUAGUGUGUGGCAUAGGGGCUUACUAUUUAAACUAUACAAACUUCACACACCACCAUAUCUACUACACACCAUAAAAAACUUUAUUAUAUUAAAUUACAGUGACGAUUAACGACAGCCACAUGGCGAGGUUUCAUUUUACUUCCCGCCAACAACGCGCCUCUUGCAUUUGAUUACGGAACUAAUUUUGUGGUUAAGGCUAUCCCAUUGAGUUGUCAUGGGGGUAGCAUUCACGCUGUAAACGUCGCCAUGGCGCCCCCUCGGGGAUGUUCCGUUCAUUUAUGAGUAAGUUGCCUCGUAAGCAGGGCCUAGGGGGAGCUAACGACAAUCAAAAUCUUGGUCUGACCUUGACUAUUUGAGUGAGGCCCCCAUGUUAGUGACUGAUGCAACAUCAGCGCUGGCCUUUAGGCUGAUCAGCACAAAAUUGGCCGACUGGACAUUGAGGUGGAAGAUAACAAGGCUUUUAUUGCGGGCACUUCUACUCUUUGUGGAAGCGUGGCUUCAAUGAUUCAAUGUGUUCGGAAUUUUAUCAAAUCUGCAGGUGAACUGGGGUGAUUAUUUCACCCGAGUUCCAUGAAAAUGCGAAUGAAUCAAUUUUUAGGUUGCUCGCCCGAGUAUGCUUUAGAAGCAGCAAGUUUUUACCCUGCGCUAGCUUUGGGUAUUGAAAAACAUAAAGGGUCGCUCAGUUACGGAGCAGAUGCAGAGCAGAUUUUACUUACUCUAUGCAAGGAGUCAGUUACGAUAUAUGUGCUAGUGUGUCAGACCUGUUGAAGGGCAUUCGUAGCGCAAGCGCACAAAGUAUGGUUUAGUUCGUGUUUGAUCUUUGAAUCUAAAACUAACAGGAAGGAGUCUACGGUCAAAUCACAAAAUAUCCCCCUGGGGGUAUGUUCUGUGGGUCAAAUCAGUGCGACCGGAAGGGAGGUUGGAUAUGGCCGACCAGUCGGCCGCUUUGGCAGUGGCGUAGGGCAUUAGAAUAUGAUAAAAUGUGGAAAAUAUAGUAUACAAUGAUAAUAUAUUUGAUAAAAAAAUGGGAUCAACAUAGCUUAAUCUGUUGUAGUGAAUUAAUGAAGCUUGACGAGAUUAUACACAUCCUUAAAUUGGAUUAAUAUGUAA